rnacentral:lncRNA from 1 species
UAAGAAGCAUGGGGACGGAUACGUAAUACGGAUACGAUACGGUACGGGGACGUAAAUACGUCAUUUUUCCAAAAAUCAAGAUACGAUACGUCAAAAAUACGUUUUAGUUUUUUUAUUUAAAAUAUAUUUUAUAUAUAUUAUAAAUUCAUAAUUCACCAAGAAUAUAAGUAAAACACUACUAAUUCAUCAUAACAAAGUUCCAAAUAGCAAAUAAUGAAAUAAAACACAAUAAAAUGUUAGUAGCCCAGAUCACUCAUCAUCGUCUUUCUCCUCCUCAUCCUCCUCUUCCUCUUCCCUCAAAUCUUCAUCAUCAUUGAAGACAACUCUCUCCAAUUCUGGCUGCCAAUUCAAAUAAAAAACAUAAAUCAAACUUCAAUUCAAAUAAAUCAACUGCCCAAUUCGAAAUUAAACUUCAAUCCAACAAAACCCAAAGCUAAAUUCGAAAUACCCACUGCCCAAUUCGAUGCCCAAGCCAAAUAAAAGAGAGGAGAGUGCGAUUAGGGUCAGAGCAAUACCUUUACAGCAGCGGGGCGCAGGGCAGCGCGACGGCGGGCUGGCGCAGGGAGGCGCGACGGCGAGCGGCGGGCUGGCGCAGGGAGGCGCGACGGCGAGCGGCGGGUGGGUCAGAGAGGAGAGUGCGAACGUAAAUGGUGAGUGAGGGAGGCGCGAAUUAGGGUUUU